rnacentral:lncRNA from 1 species
AACUAUUCCACAGUGGAACUGUGCAAACAGUUAUAACUGUAGAAUUUGUACAACUGUUCUUUCUACUUCAUAAGUAAAGAUAAAGAGACAUUUUACUAUAAGAAAUUAAGUGAGAUUGACCACCAAGAAAGUUGGUCCGAGAGUUAAGACAAGAGACAAGUGAACGCCGAUGCGAAAAGUACCGCCAAGGCCAGGAGAGCCGCUUAGGGAAAAAAGCUAAAGCCACUGAAUGUCCAGAUUGUCAUUAUCCGCAAC